rnacentral:lncRNA from 1 species
UGCAUUCUGGGAAUCAAGAACAAAUAGGGGUGUAUGCAGUUACAUAAACGCGCUUUAGAAACUCGGAAGAGCCGCCAGUGAUUAAGAAUUAUGUGUGGGAAGGGUGCAACAGAACUAAAUCGGAAAGAAAGGGAGGGGGAGUCGGAAUGCUCAUACUUCAGGGAGCCAAAUGGGAAAGAGUAAAUUCAAAAUAUCAAGAGCAUCUUUGGUCAUCAUGCACAAUGAGUGGAAAGAAAACUUGGCUGGGCGUAGCGUAUUUGUGGAUCGGAAAUAAAUACAGAGAGAAGAAUCAAGAGUUAGUGAAAUGUCCAAGUGCUGAUAUUAGAGGUUUCGGGAAUGACGCCGAAAUUAUCCUAUUAGGUGACAUACAGGAUCUAGAUGGCUAUACC